rnacentral:rRNA from 1 species
CCUACGGGGGGCAGCAGUGAGGAAUAUUGGUCAAUGGACGAGAGUCUGAACCAGCCAAGUAGCGUGAAGGAUGACUGCCCUAUGGGUUGUAAACUUCUUUUAUAUGGGAAUAAAACGUUCCACGUGUGGGAUUUUGUAUGUACCAUAUGAAUAAGGAUCGGCUAACUCCGUGCCAGCAGCCGCGGUAAUACGGAGGAUCCGAGCGUUAUCCGGAUUUAUUGGGUUUAAAGGGAGCGUAGGUGGAUUGUUAAGUCAGUUGUGAAAGUUUGCGGCUCAACCGUAAAAUUGCAGUUGAAACUGGCAGUCUUGAGUACAGUAGAGGUGGGCGGAAUGCGUGGUGUAGCGGUGAAAUGCUUAGAUAUCACGAAGAACUCCGAUUGCGAAGGCAGUUCACUGGACUGCAACUGACACUGAGGCUCGAAAGUGUGGGUAUCAAACAGGAUUAGAUACCCUGGUAGUC